GGCGAGGGAGCUGCAUUGGGAUGAGAAGCUGGGAGAAUGUGACCGGAACAGGAUUGUGCUGAGGAGCAAGAAUGGAUGUGGUGUUUGGAGUGUUGUGGGCUACUUUUAUCAAAAGGAGAUGUGACCUUCCUAGGAACAAGAUAAGAGCGGAAAGGCAAUCUGCUUUAUCCAAACCUAAUCAGCAAGGAAGCCCCCAAGUAUCAGUGUUUUGGAUCAACUGGCUUGAUGACACUUGGAAUGGUGAAACCACCCUCUGACAGUGGCAGCUCAUGUCUAGAAAGGCUCAGGAGGGAGAGCACCAGCUGCUCUCCCAGCUGCUAUGUCCUCCCUGCACAUCCCAAGAGUUACAAGGGAAAGAGAAGUGAUUCCAGGAAUG